UAGGAGAAACGAUUGUGAACACAGUUCAUAUAUAGCAUGAGUUUCGACGACAUGCCGUCUGGUGUAUACGAGGUGGCAAUACAUAU
rnacentral:sRNA from 1 species